rnacentral:rRNA from 1 species
GACGUAGGAGGCGAGCGUUGUCCGGAUUUACUGGGCGUAAAGUGUUCGUAGGCGGCACCGUUAGCCUGGCGUGAAAGCGCGCGGCUCAACCGCGCGAGGUCGCUGGGAACUGCGGGGCUGGAGGGUCGGCGAGGCAGACGGAAUGCCGGGUGGAGCAGUAAAAUGCGUAGAGAUCCGGCGGAACACCGGUGGCGCAAGCGGUCUGCUGGACGAUGCCUGACGCUGAGGGACGAAAGCGUGGGGAGCCAACAGG